AUUGAACGCUGGCGGCAGGCUUAACACAUGCAAGUCGAGCGGGGUGAUGGUGCUUGCACUAUCACUUAGCGGCGGACGGGUGAGUAAUGCUUAGGAAUCUGCCUAUUAGUGGGGGACAACAUCUCGAAAGGGAUGCUAAUACCGCAUACGUCCUACGGGAGAAAGCAGGGGAUCACUUGUGACCUUGCGCUAAUAGAUGAGCCUAAGUCGGAUUAGCUAGUUGGUGGGGUAAAGGCCUACCAAGGCGACGAUCCGUAGCGGGUCUGAGAGGAGGAGCCGCCACACUGGGACUGAGACACGGCCCAGACUCCUACGGGAGGCAGCAGUGGGGAAUAUUGGACAAUGGGGGGAACCCUGAUCCAGCCAUGCCGCGUGUGUGAAGAAGGCCUUAUGGUUGUAAAGCACUUUAAGCGAGGAGGAGGCUCUUUUGGUUAAUACCCAAGAUGAGUGGACGUUACUCGCAGAAUAAGCACCGGCUAACUCUGUGCCAGCCGCCGCAGUAA
rnacentral:rRNA from 1 species